rnacentral:tRNA from 1 species
GCGGGGGUACCCGAGCCAGGUCUAAAUAGGCGGCCAGAUCUUUGCUCUGGCGCAGGCCUUCGUGGGUUCAAGUCCCACCCCCCGCACCA